CACAGUCGACGCUUCCCGAAAAACUCGGGGGCCCCCUCCCCGCUGGCGUGCACCCCGUGAUUGCGCCGCGGCCGGCACUUCCGCCCCGCGGGCCCUGCGGCCCGGGCAGGGCGCACGCUCCGCGCCCUGCGCCCGCGGUCCUGCCCCCUCGGAGGCGCCCGCGCCCGGGGAGGGCUGGGGGUUCCCGCGGCGCCCGCGGGCGGAGGGUGGGGGAAAGGAAGGAGGAUUUGCAACAAUACCUCGGGGAGGAGGCAGCCGGGGCAGCGGCGGCGGCGGCGGCGGCUGGAGGCGGAGGCAGAGGCGCAGGAGGAGGUGCCGGGCACUCCCCCUCCCAUUGUCCCCAGCCCCGGCCAGGCCCGGCCCCGCGCCCCGCACCGCGCCCCGCGCCCCGCGCCCCGGGCCGUGCAGGCAGCCCUUACCUUGCAGCGCCCGGCUCUCCCCCGCUCGCUAAAGCUACUUAUCCCGGGAAAGCUCGCGCGGGGCCCGGGAGCGAACCCACAGACAAAAAGUGAAACUUCGGCAGGGCUGGAGCGGCUGCUGGUUGGUGCCUUUCCCCCUCCUUCCUCCCCACCGUCCCCACCCCCUCCCCUCGGUCUCCCGUGCGGUGCCCUGAGAGCUGGAGGCUGACGUCAGGGGCCUGAAUUCCUGACUUUGCCUGCACGCAUUUGUCCAUGUAAGGGAAUAACACUGGAUUAAAAGGCAGUUCAAGGGGCCGGCCCCGUGGCCGAGAGAUUAAGUUCACGCACUCCACUUCGGCAGCCCAGAGUUUCGCCGGUUUGGAUCCUGGGUGUGGACAUGGCACCGCUCAUCAAGCCAUGCUGAGGGGGCACCCCGCAUGCCACAACUAGAAGGACCCACAACUAAAAAUACACAACUAUGUACCGGGGGAUUUUGGGAGAAAAAUGAAAAAUAAAAUAAAAUAAAAUAAAGACAGUUCAAGGCAUGCCAAGAGGAAUUGUGAUUAUCUGCUCUAGGAGCAUUGUCCACACCAUGAAUUAUUAUGCACCCUGGACCUGUCUCUUUCGAGUCACUGACAAGUGGAGGAGACACCUAGUUUAAAACUCUAGCUUAGCCUCUGACCAGUGAAAACAUGUAGACCAUGUCGAAUUAGCAACAAAUACCUCCCCCUCUCCACUGGGAGAGGACUGGGUGGCAGAAGCAGAAGUUUCCUUUCAACACACCAC
rnacentral:lncRNA from 1 species